rnacentral:rRNA from 1 species
GGGCUUUGCCUGCUAUCUCUUACCCAUGUCUUUUGAGUACUUACGUUUCCUCGGCGGGUCCGCCCGCCGAUUGGACAAAAUUAAACCCUUUGCAGUUGCAAUCAGCGUCUGAAAAACUUAAUAGUUACAACUUUCAACAACGGAUCUCUUGGUUCUGGCAUCGAUGAAGAACGCAGCGAAAUGCGAUAAGUAGUGUGAAUUGCAGAAUUCAGUGAAUCAUCGAAUCUUUGAACGCACAUUGCGCCCCUUGGUAUUCCAUGGGGCAUGCCUGUUCGAGCGUCAUUUGUACCUUCAAGCUUUGCUUGGUGUUGGGUGUUUGUCUCGCCUCUGCGUGUAGACUCGCCUCAAAACAAUUGGCAGCCGGCGUAUUGAUUUCGGAGCGCAGUACAUCUCGCGCUUUGCACUCAGAACGACGACGUCCAAAAGUACAUUUUUACACUCUUGACCUCGGAUCAGGUAGGGAUACCCGCUGAACUUAAGCAUAUCA